GAGGGAGACAAAGGCAGAUAGCCUAGAAGCCUGCAGAACUGCUGUGGUCUGUCCAAAACAAGCGCAUGUUGGUGUGGGGCUAUGACCGCACCUGGGUGCAGGCAGAAAAGCAGAGGAUCGUGAAGGAGAUCCGGACCGAGCUGAAAAAAAAAUUCAAGGUCAAUCAUCCCAGGAUGGUCGUCUUGAAAAAAUGGUCCAAUCUGAAGAGGAGGCACACUGGCUGGUCACAGAGAUCCGUGACCGCACAUGCCCAGAGACAAGACGCGGUUGGAAGAGGUUGUCAUAGGUGGAAUGAAAAAUAUGAUUACAGAGAACUUCAAAGGAGACGUCACUUCUGAGGCACUGGAUGUAAGAGAUAUGUAGUGCCAGAUAGUCCUGUAUGUUUGGUAGCACUGAAUGUAAUAUGUUUUUAGUGCUAGUAUGUGUAUAUGUGGUGCAUUGGGACUUGGGCCCCAAAUAUUUUGAGACCCUAGAAACACCCCUGCCCCAUAUUAAAGGGAAUGUCUAUGAUGAGUCAACCCUUUUAGGUCUGUCUUUGGAGCCCAUCACCUACCACUAGGGUCUAUUUCUUUGAUUCAAAACCAUUUAGGCUGAGUUCACACUUCAGUUAUUUGGUCAGUUAUUUCCCAUCAGUUAUUGUGAACCAAAACCAGUAGUGAAGCCUGCUCAGAGAUAAGGUGUAAUGGAAAGAUCUGCACCUGUUCUGUGUGUUCGACCUGUACCUGGUCUUGGUUUACAAAUAACUGAAGUGUGAACCCAACCUUAGACUUUAUUGCUGAUACAGUGGCUGGGCUUCUGAAACUAUUUACUCUUCUGUGGCCCAAGGAACCAAAGUCCAACACUGUGGUUUUCUGCCUGUUGAGUAACCAAUGUGUUGUGAUUCAAUAGAAAAUGUAGAGCAUGGCCAAUAGAUGUCUCUGCCGUAUGGCAAAUCCUCCACAUCUGUCAUAGCUGUAACCACCUGUUCCUCAGCUGUUGGGAUGUGCACCCUCCUAUUUUACUACAGCAUUAAUAUAUUGUAAAAAAUGUAAUAAUUAUGGUCUGAUGCACUUAAAGGAUCUCUGGCAUCUCCAGAUAUCUGUGGGGACAUUUUUCAUGAGGGUACUUUUUGAAGUCAGUUUUUCUUGAGUCUGCACUGGCAUAAUUUGCACCAAAUUUACCAAAUGUCGCACAUUGUUUCAUAAAUCUGGUGCAUCUUUAAACAGGACACUUGUCUAGAGCUGUUACUCCAGUACUGGAUUGCAUUUUUUUUGCGACUUUGAUACGACGCA